AGUAUCUGAGGUUUGGACACAAAAUUCCAAACAUGCAUCACAAAUUUCUCCAUCAUUUUAGCAUUUGGAAUAUCUCCAAUUACAUAUCCAAUUAAUGCAUUUUCCCAGUAAUCUACCUGAGAUUGUAGAUCCUCUACACUGAUUUUAACCACCUUCUGGCCAUCUCUUUCAAUCGGAGGGACACAUGAGAGAGUCUUACCCAUUUGUGCAUCGCGAUUUCCUCUAGCAACUUCAGCAGCAGUCGGUAAUGAUUUUGCAGGGUCACUUACUUCAGAAAAUUAGAGUCGUCUCGCAGUCGAGUUAAUCGGAACUUCAGUUUGAUCCAUCGGAAUUGUAUUUACAGUUG
rnacentral:lncRNA from 1 species